UACGUAGGGUGCGAGCGUUAAUCGGAAUUAUUGGGCGUAAAGAGCUCGUAGGCGGUUUGUCGCGUCUGCUGUGAAAGCCCGGGGCUUAACCCCGGGUGUGCAGUGGGUACGGGCAGACUUGAGUGCAGUAGGGGAGACUGGAAUUCCUGGUGUAGCGGUGAAAUGCGCAGAUAUCAGGAGGAACACCGAUGGCGAAGGCAGGUCUCUGGGCUGUUACUGACGCUGAGGAGCGAAAGCGUGGGGAGCAAACAGGAUUAGAAACCCCUGUAGU
rnacentral:rRNA from 1 species